UACGUAGGUGGCAAGCGUUGUCCGGAUUUAUUGGGCGUAAAGCGCGCGCAGGCGGUUUCUUAAGUCUGAUGUGAAAGCCCUCGGCUUAACCGAGGAGGGUCAUUGGAAACUGGGAGACUUGAGUGCAGAAGAGGAAAGUGGAAUUCCAAGUGUAGCGGUGAAAUGCGUAGAGAUUUGGAGGAACACCAGUGGCGAAGGCGACUUUCUGGUCUGUAACUGACGCUGAGGCACGAAGGCCAGGGGAGCAAACGGG
rnacentral:rRNA from 1 species